GAGAAUACCUGUAAAUGGAAAUAUUAUGAAGCAGAAGUCACUACGAAUUUAUAAGCAACUGCAGAUAUCGGAGCCAUCAACAAGUCGUCAAGAUAAGUGAAAGGAAUUUUCUGGUAGUGAUGGAUGGCUCACAGGCCUCUUAAAAGAAACGCAUUUCAUAAUUUAAAAAUUAAAGGAGAAAUCGCAUCAGCAGAUGAAAAGAUAGAUAAAACCUUUCCAGCAGAACUAGCCAAAGUAAUUGAAAAUGGGGCUAUGUCCCCGACCUAAUUUUCAAUGCCGAUGAAACGGGUUUGUUCUGGAAAAUAAUGCCUUCCAGAACUUUUAUAGCAAAAUCCGAAAAAAAAUGACAGAGGUUUUAAAGUUGCUAAAGAUCGAAUUUUUUGUGUAGCAACGCUUCUGGUGACAAAAUUUUAAAGCCUCUUUUAAUUAAUCGAUCAUUAAGAGUCUUAAUUUAAGACCACGUGCUUUGAGAGAAAAAAACAUUCAAGAGUUGCCGGUUCAUUGGAGGGCGAAUAAAAAGGCCUGCAUGACAACAGAUCUAUUUACGGAAUGGUUUGUUUCUGAAGUUAAAAAAUAUAUGGAACAGCGAUGUCUUGAUUUUAAAGUGUUUUUGCCAAGUCAUCUUUGCCACCUAAUACCACUUUCUUAAUUCAACCAUUAGAUCAGGAUGCGGUAGCGAAGGACAAGCUUAGGAUCGUUGAUGCAUGGAAAAAAUAUUCUAUUUUGGAUUGCAUUACUUAGGCUUCGAAGGUCAAAAAAAAGUUAAGGGUAUCAACAUUAAAUUCCUGAUGGAAAGCACUGUGGCCAGAAUGCGUGAAGAGUGGUACCUCUGUUCCCCAAGCAUCGAUGGAGACUUCUGAAAUUAUAGCCUUAGCACAUGAAAUCGGAGGAGAAGGAUUUGAAGACCUAUUGAAUUGAAGAUGUCGACGAAUUAAUGAUAGAUAAACCUCUUGAUAAUGAUUGUGUGAUUGAAUUAGUAACAGAUGCCGGCAAAACUGAGAACCAUAAUAGCGACAACGACGAGGAGACCGAAAUAUGUCAACUAACUGCUAGUUUGAAUUUAUUACUUGAAGUUUUAAUGCUCAAUAAAAUUCCAUAUGAACAUACAAUUUA